rnacentral:rRNA from 1 species
GAUGAACGCUGGCGGCGUGCCUAAUACAUGCAAGUCGAGCGAACGGACGAGAAGCUUGCUUCUCUGAUGUUAGCGGCGGACGGGUGAGUAACACGUGGAUAACCUACCUAUAAGACUGGGAUAACUUCGGGAAACCGGAGCUAAUACCGGAUGAUAUUUUGAACCGCAUGAUUCAAAAGUGAAAGACGGUCUUGCUGUCACUUAUAGAUGGAUCCGCGCUGCAUUAGCUAGUUGGUAAGGUAACGGCUUACCAAGGCAACGAUGCAUAGCCGACCUGAGAGGGUGAUCGGCCACACUGGAACUGAGACACGGUCCAGACUCCUACGGGAGGCAGCAGUAGGGAAUCUUCCGCAAGGGGCGAAAGCCUGACGGAGCAACGCCGCGUGAGUGAUGAAGGUCUUCGGAUCGUAAAACUCUGUUAUUAGGGAAGAACAUAUGUGUAAGUAACUGUGCACAUCUUGACGGUACCUAAUCAGAAGGCCACGGCUAACUACGUG